CGCUGUGGAUGUCUUGGGGGGGGGGAGACAGGGGGGAAGCGGGGGAAAUCCCUUUUAGUUUUGCGAUUAGGCUGCCAGGCUUUGAAAAGGGCUUAAAAACAAAGUCAUGCUCAGCCUUUUGUAGGAGAGAUCCAGAUGUUAUGUAGAUUUUUUGUUUGCAUGUUCAUUUUGAGCGGAUCCGGCGGUGAGCGCUGUAUUUACGUGUGUAUGUUGCUGGACUUUGCCGUAUAUCGACGUUGCGCUUGUGGAAUGUAUGCUGAAGUAUUAGCUCGGUAAUGCCUUCUAAUGGUAGUGCUAAUUACAGUGGGGUUAUUUAGCAAAUUAAGUGAGAUGAUGCACCCCCCACCCUUGAGCACCAAAUGAACUUUUCCAAACACACACGCGGGCACACACACACACACACACACGCACGUUAAUUUUGGUGUGUUUCUCUCGCCCAAUCACUUUGCUGGAGCUAAACCAUGCCUUACCUCAGAACAGUCAAUUACCAAAGCUACCCGGGAUCAUCAAUCAUGGGGGAUGCUUGAAGUUUAGGGGAGGAGCGAUGGUCAAACUAUCGAUUGCUGCAGUUUUGUCCUCCCCAACCCCCACCCUCGUUCACGGUCCCCUGCACAUAAAAUCUAAAACAGACUAUCCCGUUAAUAGUGGGAUUUAUCAAUGAUUAUGUACCCAGUUGUGAAUGUGGCCUCAUACAUAGAUGGCUUUUAAAAAUACACGGCAGAAAAAAAUAUGAUUUGUUCAGAUAGGUUUUGUUUGGGUUUGUUUUGCUUUUCGAGAUGAUGACGAUGGUUUUAAGUUUUUGUUGGUUUUGUGUUUUUUUGUUUUUUCUUUUUUAAAAAAACUUUAAGAAAAUGACUCAAGGGGUAGUUAUAGAUAUUUGGCCUGAUUUUAAUAGGCGUAGGGAAUGAGCUCCAGAGGUCAAUAAACCCCUCCAAAAUGAUGAAUGAUUGAGUACCUGUGAUGAUGAUAGUGAUUACCGGAGCAAUUAAACAGUUUGAUUAAAUGAGCCAUCAUAACAAUGAUGUCUGCGGGAAAUCAGCCCUCACAUAUAAAGAAAGAUAGUGUGGAGGGCUGACAAACGCCAGUGGGCAUUCCUGCGUGUUCCGAUAGCGCCGAGCCCUGCAGAGCAGGGCUGUAUUUACAAAUAUAGGGGGGAAUAUGGAGAAAAGUCCCUCUCCUACUUUUAGCCAGAGUUGCACCCUGCUUAAAACCCGCCAGAAGCCGGAGAGCAGACCCGUUUUUUUUUCCCUAGAGGAUCUCCUCCAAGAUUAAAGCUAGUCCUAAGAGCAACCGAAUUGCUGUGACUGACUUUCACGGGACUGUAAAGAGAGAGCUACUCGGCCCAUUGUUUGAAGUGGGAUUCUGUGCGCAGCCCAAAGAGAAAAAGGAAAAAAAAUAAAAAUCUUAGGAGUCCGGUUUGGUAUUGCUUAGGGAAAGAGCUGACGAAAUAUUAUACCGUGUUUCCUAGAAGUACGUGAUGAGAGCCGCCGGUGUGUUCCUGAAAGAGAGGGAUAUGUAUAUUUAAAGACAUGCUGAAGAGAUUUCUGAGUUCACGGGGAAGAAGGAGAGGUUGGUUGGGGAACGGCAGCGCGCCUGGCAGGUAUUUUAAUGGCUGUCCCUUCCUUUGAACACUUUCAAUUUCUCUGCUUCUCUUCAUCCGUAAUAUCUUCCCCAGACCAAGUAUGAUUUCUGUUGUAAUUCUUGUGUGUGUUUGUGAUCACUUCUGAGGUAAAUUGAGAAGUAAGCUGCGCAAAAGGAGGAAAUCGCCCCUGGGGUGCUUUGUUUACUUUGGUUUGUAAAAUCCUGCUAGGAGAUGGUUUCCUCAGUGUGUGGCAAGUGUUUCUUCAAGAAAUUCAUCAGCCCUUCUACAAUUACUUCGAGCUCCGAGGGAAAAGAGCUGCCAUCACUUUCUCACAUCCCAAGGUGUUGCAUGGAGGAGAGAAGAAAAGGCUGGAGCAUUUAAUUAUAAUGGGGGGGUGGGGAGGGGGGGAAC